UACGUAGGGGGCAAGCGUUAUCCGGAAUCAUUGGGCGUAAAGCGCGUGUAGGCGGUUCCGUAAGUCCGCUCUGAAAGCCCAGGGCUCAACCCUGGGAGGCGGGUGGAUACUACGGAACUGGAGUACGGAAGAGGAGAUUGGAAUUCCUGGUGUAGCGGUGAAAUGCGCAGAUAUCAGGAGGAACACCAACAGCGAAGGCAGAUCUCUGGGACGUUACUGACGCUGAGACGCGAAAGCGUGGGGAGCAAACAGG
rnacentral:rRNA from 3 species